rnacentral:rRNA from 1 species
AGCAGCCGCGGUAAAACAGAGGGUGCGAGCGUUAAUUGGAUUUACUGGGCGUAAAGCGUGUGUAGGUUGUUGUUCAAGUCAGUUGUGAAAUCCCUGGGCUCAACCUGGGAACUGCUUCUGAGACUGAACGACUAGAGUACGGUAGAGGGUGGUGGAAUUUCCGGUGUAGCGGUGAAAUGCGUAGAUAUCGGAAGGAACAUCAAUGGCGAAGGCAGCCACCUGGGCCUGUACUGACACUGAGACACGAAAGCGUGGGGAUCAAACAGGAUUAGAGACCCCCGUAGUCCCUGUCUCUUAUACA